UGUCCAAUGCGGGAAUCGAACCCGGGUCCUAGUGGCCGAAAACCAAACGGUUUAACCAGCCUUCCACCAACUACCGAC
rnacentral:tRNA from 1 species